CCUACGGGUGGCAGCAGUAGGGAAUCUUCCACAAUGGGCGAAAGCCUGAUGGAGCAACGCCGCGUGGGUGAUGAAGGUCUUCGGAUCGUAAAACCCUGUUGUUAGAGGAGAAAAUGCGGGCGAGUGACUGUUCACGUGUCGACGGUAUCUAACCAGAAAGCGACGGCUAACUACGUGCCAGCAGCAGCGGUAAUACGUAGGUGGCAAGCGUUAUCCGGAUUUAUGGGGCGUAAAGGGAACGCAGGCGGUCUUUUAAGUCUGAUGUGAAAGCCUACGGCUUCACCGGAGUAGUUCAUUGGAAACUGGGAGACUUGAGUGCGGAAGAGGAGGGCGGAACUCAUGGUGUAGCGGUGAAAUGCGUAGAUAUAAAGAGGAACACCAGUGGCGAAGGCGGCUGGCUGGACUGUAACUGACGCUGAGGUUCGAAAGCGUGGGUAGCAAACAGGAUUAGAUACCCGGGUAGUC
rnacentral:rRNA from 1 species